AGUGAACGCUGGCGGUAGGCCUAACACAUGCAAGUCGAACGGCAGCACAGUAAGAGCUUGCUCUUACGGGUGGCGAGUGGCGGACGGGUGAGGAAUACAUCGGAAUCUACUUUUUCGUGGGGGAUAACGUAGGGAAACUUACGCUAAUACCGCAUACGACCUACGGGUGAAAGCAGGGAUCUUCGGACCUUGCGCGAUUGAAUGAGCCGAUGUCGGAUUAGCUAGUUGGCGGGGUAAAGGCCCACCAAGGCGACGAUCCGUAGCUGGUCUGAGAGGAUGGUCAGCCACACUGGAACUGAGACACGGUCCAGACCCCUACGGGAGGCAGCAGUGGGGAAUAUUGGACAAUGGGCGCAAGCCUGAUCCAGCCAUACCGCGUGGGUGAAGAAGGCCUUCGGGUUGUAAAGCCCUUUUGUUGGGAAAGAAAAGCAGCAGGUUAAUACCCCGCUGUUCUGACGGUACCCAAAGAAUAAGCACCGGCUAACUUCGUG
rnacentral:rRNA from 1 species